UUUCCCUCCUCAGGAUUUGAGCUGAGUGUACUCGUGUGGAUGAGAGAGCUGGAGAAGGCAACGUGAUUCACUGUCACUUCUGAUUAAUUCCUUUCAUUAAGCACUGAUUGCCCUGAAAGCUGGGAGGGGGUGGGGAGCUGGUGAUUGAAAGAGCCCAGUUCAGAUCUUUCAUUUUAGAAUGUGGCCCCAUCACAUCUGAGCCCAUCCACUGCUAAGCUCGGGAGGUUUGCGUCGGCAUGGAAUCCAUCACAUCGCCCUCCCCACCUCCCCAUUGCCGUGGUGAUUCUUAGGCCCUGGGGCUGAAACACAAACACAGGGCCACACCCCUCCCCACCCCCUGCGAAGCCCACUUCCCUCCCUUCCUCCCUCAGCCACCAUCCCUCCUCCACACCCCACCUCCUGAAUUUUCCAUCUCUCAGCCUUUGUUUGUUUUUCCUUUAUCUGUGUCCAUCCCCUCCCCCCAUGGGUUUCUGUUUAUUUCCAAACUGUCUGGGGCCCUGCACCAAGGAGAUGGACCUGGGCUGCCUCUAGCCCUGAUCUGGUUAGAAUAAGCCCCUCUCCAACCUGACAUUUUGGAACAACCAGAACAAAUCAGGACAUUCUGCAGCAAGACAGAAGCCACCGUCUCCACCCGCUCUGCUGGCGCCUUUGUCCACCUGGAAGGGGUUUUUUUGAAAAUUUCCAGUGUUCUGCUGGAGGGAGAAUGGAGGGGAAGCAGCUUAUACUGAAGCCUCAAUACCAGCCCCUGGGCUAUGCUUUGCUUAUGUUAAGAGUCAGCGGUGACAAAAACAAAUACAAAACAAAAAGAGUGGUGAAAUUGAUACUUCCUGCAUUAAAAUUGAACUGCAAAUCUCCUGAGAGCAGGGCCUCGGUCUUCUCUUAUAGCCACCUGUCAGAGUUGUGGUGGGUACUCAAAACAAGUUUGCUGAGUGAAUAAAUGGCCAAAAAAGGUGCAAGAAAUUUCCUGUCGCAGCCGAGGGCAGUGGGACGUUUGUCAGCCAAAGGGGCUUGAAGUUGGACUGGACUGGAAAAUGCACAGGAAAAUGUGGGCAGCAGCAUGGCACCUUCUGUCAAUGUGUCACUAACUAUAGAAAGGUGUGACGUCCAAGCUGCCGAGUCUGGAUGGGUGAAGUUUGAGUGUCCUGGCCCCUGGACUGUCCCCACGAGGUGCUCAAACCUGUGCCAGACCCAGCAGCUGAACCCAGAGACACCCACUGCACUGGAUGUGGGGCAGGCAGGUGACGCCCCUCCCUCCCAC